rnacentral:rRNA from 1 species
UACGUAGGGUGCAAGCGUUGUCCGGAAUUAUUGGGCGUAAAGAGCUCGUAGGCGGUUUGUCGCGUCUGCUGUGAAAACUCGGGGCUUAACUCCGGGCCUGCAGUGGGUACGGGCAGACUAGAGUGCGGUAGGGGAGACUGGAAUUCCUGGUGUAGCGGUGAAAUGCGCAGAUAUCAGGAGGAACACCGGUGGCGAAGGCGGGUCUCUGGACAGGUCCUGACGCUGAGGCACGAAGGCCAGGGGAGCAAACGGG